rnacentral:rRNA from 1 species
UACGUAGGGGGCAAGCGUUAUCCAGAUUUAUUGGGCGUAAAGAGCUCGUAGGUGGUUUGUUGCGUCUGCUGUGAAAACCUAGGGCUUAACCCUGGGCUUGCAGUGGAUACGGGCAGACUAGAGGUAGGUAGGGGAGAGUGGAAUUCCUGGUGUAGCGGUGAAAUGCGCAGAUAUCAGGAAGAACACCAAUGGCGAAGGCAGCUCUCUGGGACGGUACUGACACUGAGACGCGAAAGCGUGGGGAGCGAACAGG